UUNUGAACUGGGUGACUAGAGUGUGUCAGAGGGAGGUAGAAUUCCACGUGUAGCAGUGAAAUGCGUAGAGAUGUGGAGGAAUACCGAUGGCGAAGGCAGCNUCCUGGGAUAACGCUGACGUUCAUGCCCGAAAGCGUGGGUAGCAAACAGGAUUAGAUACCCUGGUAGUCCACGCCCUAAACGAUGUCGAUUAGCUGUUGGGCAGCAUGACUGCUUAGUAGCGAAGCUAACGCGUGAAAUCGACCGCCUGGGGAGUACGGUCGCAAGAUUAAAACUCAAAGGAAUUGACGGGGACCCGCACAAGCGGUGGAUGAUGUGGAUUAAUUCGAUGCAACGCGAAGAACCUUACCUGGUCUUGACAUGUACGGAACCCUCCAGAGACGGAGGGGUGCCUUCGGGAGCCGUAACACAGGUGCUGCAUGGCUGUCGUCAGCUCGUGUCGUGAGAUGUUNNNNNANNNNNNGCAACGAGCGCAACCCUUGUCAUUAGUUGCCAUCAUUAAGUUGGGCACUCUAAUGAGACUGCCGGUGACAAGCCGGAGGAAGGUGGGGAUGACGUCAAGUCCUCAUGGCCCUUAUGACCAGGGCUUCACACGUCAUACAAUGGUCGGUACAGAGGGUAGCCAAGCCGCGAGGUGGAGCCAAUCUCACAAAACCGAUCGUAGUCCGGAUUGCACUCUGCAACUCGAGUGCAUGAAGUCGGAAUCGCUAGUAAUCGCAGGUCAGCAUACUGCGGUGAAUACGUUCCCGGGUCU
rnacentral:rRNA from 1 species